rnacentral:rRNA from 1 species
UCGCGGCCUAUCAGCUUGUUGGUGAGGUAAUGGCUCACCAAGGCAUCGACGGGUAGCUGGUCUGAGAGGACGAUCAGCCACACUGGGACUGAGACACGGCCCAGACUCCUACGGGAGGCAGCAGUAGGGAAUCUUGCGCAAUGGGCGAAAGCCUGACGCAGCAAUGCCGCGUGCGGGACGAAGGCCCUAGGGUCGUAAACCGCUUUCAGUAGGGACGAAAAUGACGGUACCUGCAGAAGAAGCUCCGGCCAACUACGUGCCAGCAGCCGCGGUGAUACGUAGGGAGCAAGCGUUGUCCGGAAUUACUGGGCGUAAAGGGCUCGUAGGCGGUUUGUCACGUCGUCCGUGAAAACUCGGAGCUUAACUCCGAGCUUGCGGGCGAUACGGGCAGACUUGAGUACUACAGGGGAGACUGGAAUUCCUGGUGUAGCGGUGAAAUGCGCAGAUAUCAGGAGGAACACCGGUGGCGAAGGCGGGUCUCUGGGUAGUAACUGACGCUGAGGAGCGAAAGCAUGGGGAGCAAACAGGAUUAGAUACCCUGGUAGUCCAUGCCGUAAACGGUGGGCGCUAGGUGUGGGGUCCUUCCACGGAUUCCGUGCCGUAGCUAACGCAUUAAGCGCCCCGCCUGGGGAGUACGG